CAGUUCUCUUUCCUCUCCCAUUCCUGCCUCACGCUACUUGCCGUCGACGAGUUUCUCGAUGAAUUGAGCGAUCCCCUUCUUGGAUCUCCACACGGACUCGGGCCUCAAGUCCCUCAACGAGUUUCUCUCCGGCAAGACCCACAUCUCCGGAGAUCAACUCAUGAAGGACGACAUCAAGGUGUACGCCGCGGUUCUCGAUAAGCCCAGAGGCUCGUUCUUGAACGCCAGCAAGUGAUACAAGUGUGUGUCCUCACAUCUCGCCUCGAGAAAUCCAUUAUAUCUCUGGUCGUGGUAUCCUUGGCAUUGAUGAGUCAAAUGCAACCUGUGGGAAAAGGUUAGCAUCCAUCGGGUUGGACAAUACUGAGGUCAAUUGUCAAGCUUAUAGACAACUUCUGUUGACCACGCCUGGUCUGGGUGAAUACAUCUUUGGUGCCAUUUUGUUUGAGGAGACACUUUACCAAUCGACAACAGAUGGGAAGAAAUUUGUUGACUGCUUGCGUGAGGAGAAAAUUGUUCCAAGUAUUAAAGUUGACAAGGGUUUGGUUCCUCUUCCUGGAUCCAAUAAUGAAUCCUGGUGCCAAGGCUUGGAUGGAUUGGCUUCAAGGUCUGCUGAAUACUACAAGAAAGGUGUUUGUUUUGCCAAAUGGAGGACAGUAGUUAGCAUUCCUUGUUGCUUGCAUCAGUGAUUUUCUUGUGUUUGUCAAUUGUCACAACAAAAGUGGCUAAGUUGCCAUCCUUUUUCUGAUCUUGGCUUGAGCUGACAUAGAAGCUUUGAUUUGUCUCUUUCCUUCUUCGUUAUAGUUCAAAUUUGAA